rnacentral:rRNA from 1 species
AGUGAACGCUGGCGGUAUGCCUAACACAUGCAAGUCGAACGGCAGCACAGUAAGAUCUUGCUCUUACGGGUGGCGAGUGGCGGACGGGUGAGGAAUACAUCGGAAUCUACUUUUUCGUGGGGGAUAACGUAGGGAAACUUACGCUAAUACCGCAUACUACCUACGGGUUAAAGCAGGGGAUCUUCGGACCUUUCGCGAUUGUAUGAGCCGAUGUCGGAUUAGCUAGUUGGCGUGGUAAAGGCCCACCAAGGCGACGAUCCGUAGCUGGUCUGAGAGGAUGAUCAGCCACACUGGAACUGAGACACGGUCCAGACUCCUACGGGAGGCAGCAGUGGGGAAUAUUGGACAAUGGGCGCAAGCCUGAUCCAGCCAUACCGCGUGGGUGAAGAAGGCCUUCGGGUUGUAAAGCCCUUUUGUUGGGAAAGAAAAGCAGCAGGUUAAUACCCCGCUGUUCUGACGGUACCCAAAGAAUAAGCACCGGCUAACUUCGUG